rnacentral:lncRNA from 1 species
CCCUAAAAGUACCUAGGAAGAAUAAGUCAUCUUAUCAAAAAAUCAUACCACCAACUCUUGUCUUCCUUUCUUUUAUAGGAAUGACACGAGGAAGACCAACCAUAGAUUACAUCCGUAGGACAAAAUCAAGCCAUCCCUUAUCCACCUCCUGGCCCCAAGUACUAAACAGCUGAGAGGUCUAUUUCCCACAACAUAGUGGAGUUUAGGAAGCUUAACCAACCUCAUUUUGAAGGUGGCCUUGACCCUUUAGUAGCCGAAGCCUGGAUCUUAGAAAUAGAGAAGCUUUCCUCUAUUAUAGACCUAACUAAGGAACAAAAGGUUUCCCUAGUAGCUU